GGAUCGUAAACCUCUUUUAUAAGGGAAUAAAGUGCGGGACGUGUCCUGUUUUGUAUGUACCUUAUGAAUAAGGAUCGGCUAACUCCGUGCCAGCAGCCGCGGUAAUACGGAGGAUCCGAGCGUUAUCCGGAUUUAUUGGGUUUAAAGGGUGCGUAGGCGGCCUUUUAAGUCAGCGGUGAAAGUCUGUGGCUCAACCAUAGAAUUGCCGUUGAAACUGGGGGGCUUGAGUAUGUUUGAGGCAGGCGGAAUGCGUGGUGUAGCGGUGAAAUGCUUAGAUAUCACGCAGAACCCCGAUUGCGAAGGCAGCCUGCCAAGCCAUGACUGACGCUGAUGCACGAAAGCGUGGGGAUCAAACAGGAUUAGAUACCCUGGUAGUCCCACGCAGUAAACGAUGAUCCAUUAGCUGUUUGCGAUACACUGUAAGCGGCACAGCGAAAGCGUUAAGUGAUCCACCUGGGGAGUA
rnacentral:rRNA from 1 species